rnacentral:rRNA from 1 species
CUACGCACUCCUACGGGAGGCAGCAUGGGGAAUAUUGCACAAUGGGCGCAAGCCUGAUGCAGCCAUGCCGCGUGUAUGAAGAAGGCCUUCGGGUUGUAAAGUACUUUCAGCAGUGAGGAAGGUGGGUAUGUUAAUAGCAUACUCAUUUGACGUUAGCUGCAGAAGAAGCACCGGCUAACUCCGUGCCAGCAGCCGCGGUAAUACGGAGGGUGCGAGCGUUAAUCGGAAUUACUGGGCGUAAAGCGCAUGCAGGUGGUUUGUUAAGUCAGAUGUGAAAGCCCGGGGCUCAACCUCGGAAUUGCAUUUGAAACUGGCAAACUAGAGUACUGUAGAGGGGGUAGAAUUUCAGGUGUAGCGGUGAAAUGCGUAGAGAUCUGAAGGAAUACCGGUGGCGAAGGCGGCCCCCUGGACAGAUACUGACACUCAGAUGCGAAAGCGUGGGGAGCAAACAGGAUUAGAUACCCUGGUAG